AAUCAACGGUCGUGAAAAUCGAGCAAAGCUCCGUGCGAAAAUCGCAGAAAUUCGUUGAACGAAAUUGAUUUCAGACGUGUGUUGGUGCAUUUCGCUGAACGCAAUCGUAUAACCAGUAUUAAAUAAAUAAAAUAACAAAGCAUUCGCAUAGCAAGUUCCUGAAGGAUAUUCCCAGAAAUAAGAUUAAAAGAAAAAAACCGCGCGUGUGUCUACGAUUUUUGAGAGUGUGUGUGAAAAAUCCGCCCUUAACAGCAGCCAGGAAUUCCGAAUCCCGAAGCUAAGCCAAGUCAAACUUUGAAGGCAAGCACGGACACUCCGCCGGGGCACUCCGCACGUUGAUGGCUGCCACGAAAAUCAUCGAUGCACCGCGCAACGGCCACGAGAUGGCGCCACUGAACACACGGGCCCGGGGCGAUGGCACCCACGGAGUGACCAUCGUCCUUACCGCCCCGCAGCGCAACUCCGUCCAGUCGGUGGACAUACCGGGCGGUGAGCCGGAACGGGCCGCCUGGAGCGGCAAGAUGCAGUUCUUCCUCAGCAUUAUCGGCUAUUCGGUGGGCCUGGGCAAUAUCUGGAGAUUUCCGUACCUGUGCCAGCAGAAUGGCGGCGGUGCGUUUCUGAUACCCUUCAUGAUUAUGCUGAUACUGGAGGGCAUACCCCUCUUCCUCAUCGAGCUGGGCAUCGGCCAGAGAAUGCGACUGGGCGCCCUGGGGGUCUGGAACACCAUCCACCCCUGGCUGGGCGGCAUCGGCAUCUCCUCGUGCAUUGUGACGCUCUUUGUGGCCCUCUACUACAACGUGAUCAUCACGUGGGUGUUCUUCUACCUCUUCAAUAGUUUUCGGUAUCCUUUGCCAUGGUCUUCUUGCCCCACCAACGGCACCGGAUUCGAGCUGGAGGAGUGCGCCAAGUCCUCGGAGACGACGUACUUCUGGUAUCGAACCACCUUGGAUGCGGCUCCCUCGAUGGACGAGCCCGGCGGCCUGAAGUGGUGGAUUGUCCUCUGCCUGCUUCUCUCCUGGACCAUUGUCUUCUUCAUCGUGAUGAAGGGCAUCCAGAGCUCCGGCAAGGUGGUCUACUUCACCUCCCUGUUCCCCUACAUCGUGUUGACCAUCUUCUUCAUACGGGGCAUAACCCUCCGAGGAGCGGGAGCCGGGCUGAUGCACAUGUACACGCCGAAGGUGGAGAAGCUGCUGGAGCCGACAGUCUGGCUGGAUGCAGCCACCCAGGUGUUUUAUUCCUUCGGCCUGGCCUUUGGCUCCCUGAUUGCCUUCGGCAGCUACAACACGCCCAAGAACAACUGUGUGAGGGACGUGCUCCUGGUCUCCGUCUGCAAUGCCAUUACGGCCAUCUACGCCAGUGUGGUCAUCUUUGCCAUUCUCGGCUUCAAGGCCACCGUCAAUGUGGAUCGUUGUGUGGACAGCAAUACGGAGAUCCUGGUGAAGAACAAUCUGCUGGAAGUGAAUGCCACACGGCUGGUCUACGACCAAACAAUAGCCAAGUAUAACACCACGGAAAUGGCCAAGUUCCAUCUGAGCGAAUGUAGUUUAAGCCAUGAAUUAGACAAUGCUGCUGAGGGCACUGGCCUGGCCUUCAUCGUGUUCACCCAAGCCAUUGUGGAACUGCCAGGAGCUCCGUUCUGGGCCGUCCUCUUCUUCACCAUGCUGCUAUCGCUGGGACUGGGAUCACAGAUCGGCAUCCUGGAGGGCAUGCUCUGCACCCUCUUCGACAUAGACAUUAUCAAGCGGGUUAAGAAACAGCAUGUCACUGGCGUGGUAUGUCUCUUCUGCUUUAUUGUCGGUUUCAUCUUCUGCACAGGUGCCGGGGAGUACUGGCUCAAGAUGUUCGACUCGUUUGCCGGCACCAUUGGCCUGGUGGUGGUGGCCCUCAUGGAGAUGAUAGCCGUAAUCUUUAUCUACGGACAUGAGCGCUUCACUGAGGACAUCUACCAGAUGACUGGCUACAGACCAGGUCUCUACUGGCAGCUUACUUGGCGGUACAUUGGCCCUGUGAUCAUGGUCUGCAUUCUGGUCUCUUCCGUGGUCUUUAUGGUCAUCAGGAAUCCCACAUACGGAGCUUGGAAUGCUGAUUUGGGUAUGAUCGAGCAAAAGGACUAUCCCAACUGGGUGAUGAUCGUUGCCAUCUCGAUGAUCCUGGCCGGGGUCCUGCCCAUGCCCAUUGUGUUCCUCAUGCGCAGCUUCCAGUGCCUCAAGGUGGACCUGGACAUACACCAGGGCUCGAUCCGCCGCAACGAGACAACCGCCUCCACCAAGGAGAUGAUCGACAAUGACGACGAUAACAUGAGUCCGGAUAUGCCACCGCAGAACUCACUCGCGGCGACACGCUUCACAAUCGGAGACUUUGAAAAUUAGAACUAACCGAAAUCGAAACCGAAACCGAACCGAAUCGAAACCCUGGAUACCCUGAAACUAACCAGUGCAGCGCCCAAGUUUCAACAGCCAUCAAUCAGAUAAAGUCUAGGAUAACAUCAAAUAGUAGAACACACACACAUGCCACAAACAACAACAAACAUCACACAACAAACACUGGAACAUUCAGAUUAUAAUACCCAAGAUACACCUCAGAAUCGGACUAAGGACUGUGCUAAGUUGCACGCCACAUCUCAAGUAGAAACCAAGUGCUCAUGCCGCAGAUACCAAGCUACCAAGCAAUAUCUCGUACUCAAUACCACUAAGAACUAAUCAACGCACAGCAAUUUCUCGUAGUUAGCAACCAAACAACACAAGUGCUAUUUUAACCAAAAAACUGAAACUGACACCAGGAAUACUUACGGCCAUAACAAUUAGUUACAAUGGUUAAGUUUUAGGCUCAAAAGACUAGCAGAAAAUCGCUUGGUUCGUAGGGCAGGAGUUGAAUAGUGUUAGGGGCGUCGAAUUGGCUGCUGGGCGUGGCUCUAACUGCAGGACGACGACGAGGACGAUGAGAACGACUUCAGCGGCCCAGCGUUGGGCGGCCAUGUGAAGACCCAGAGCGAUUUCUCCGACGAC
rnacentral:misc_RNA from 1 species